rnacentral:tRNA from 1 species
GGAGACGUGCCAGAGCGGCCGAAUGGACUUCACUGCUAAUGAAGGGCUCGACGAAAGUUGGGCCGGGGGGUUCAAAUCCCCCCGUCUCCGCGA